rnacentral:rRNA from 1 species
UACAGAGGGUGCGAGCGUUGUCCGGAAUCACUGGGCGUAAAGGGCGCGUAGGCGGCUUGAUAAGGUUGCGGUGAAAGCCCGGGGCUCAACCCCGGGUCGGCCGUGGCAACUGUCGAGCUGGAGCACUGUAGAGGCAGGUGGAAUUCCGGGUGUAGCGGUGGAAUGCGUAGAGAUCCGGAAGAACACCGGGGGCGAAGGCGGCCGGCUGGGCAGUGGCUGACGCUGAGGCGCGAGAGCGUGGGGAGCAAACAGG